UCAGCCUGUGGUACUCAAACUGUGGGGGCACUUCCGUUUUACGAAGGGAAGUGCCGCCAUGUUUUGAGUGUUACCGGUUGA
rnacentral:pre_miRNA from 1 species